GAGAGGGAGAGAGCGGCUUACGGCGGCAUCCAUUUGCCGCUGAGGAAAGUCCCCACACCGACCGGUUACGCAGCCGCAUUAACUUUGCGGGUGGCGAGAGUCACGGCUCUGACACAGAAACGAUACGUUGCGGGAGUAAGCUUGUGAUGCAGAGUAUGCUGAAGCGUCUGCAACUUCCGAUAACGAUGGAACGGUGAAUCCCUGCGGGUGCAAGUCAAACAGAGGCUUUAAGAAUAUUUCCGGGUUUGCCUCGGGUAUGGCGCGUCAGCUGAAUGCCGCAAAAAACAGAAUGGGGCUUACUACUCCCACUC
rnacentral:RNase_P_RNA from 1 species